AUGGUUUAUCAAUGCAAGAAAAAGGCAGUGGCUGACAGAGGCAAAGGAAGUUCUUCUUACUGCUCUCAGUGGAUGAUUGAUCAUACCCGCCAGCUGGCUAAUAUCAUAAUUAACAAAGUUGCUACCACGUCUGAGAAGUAUAAUCGAAAAAUUUACCAGCAGCGUGAUGCCAUUGUCACAAAGAUCAUAAGCACUGCAGAGUCAACUUUUGCACUCGGGAGCUGCAGAACUAUGUAGAUGUGCUGAGAAGGGGUGCACUUGUACAGCUAAAGAUGUAAAAACUGAGAACAAUGUCUGAGCUGCUAUCUAGAGACCCAAUUCACAUUGCAUUUAUAAAACAUUCUGUAAGCAUUUCACUUAUUCUUUUCUAUAUUUACUUGAUUCUCAGAGUUAA
rnacentral:lncRNA from 1 species